GUCUGGGGACAAGGGCAGACCCUCGAGGCUGGAGGGAGGGAGUAUUGUAUAAUAUUUGGGUUUCGCCCCCAGUUCCUGGCUGGAGAUUGAGUCCAGUCACCAACGGCCAGUGAUUUCAUCGUAUGUACAUAACGGAGCCUCUGCAAAAACCCAACAAGGAGGGCUCGGGAAGCACAGGACGGUGCUGCCCACGUGAUGGGCGGUGGCACAUCUGGAGAAGGCAUGGAAGCCCAGUGCCAUUCUUCGCUCCCUGCCCUCACCGUCUACCUCCUCCGGCCGUUGGGAGUGUUUUCCUGAGACUAUAAACACCCGCCCGCACCACGUCCUUCAAGAACAGGACCCUGACCCCUGCCUUGCCUUCAGCUCCUCACCUGGAACAUGGGACAAGGACAGCCAUCCCUGCUGGCAUCCCGGGCCUGUGGGAUUCCACUGGGCCUCAGCGUCCCCAUCCCCAUCAUGGGCACAGGGGCGGCCCCGGCGAGCCGGCCUAGUUGGGAGAAACAAUAAAAUAGUGCCGUCACC